AAAGGAAUAGACGGGGACCCGCACAAGCAGCGGAGCAUGUGGUUUAAUUCGAAGCAACGCGAAGAACCUUACCAGGGCUUGACAUGCCCCUGACCGUUCUAGAGAUAGGACUUUACCUUCGGGUACAGGGGACACAGGUGGUGCAUGGUUGUCGUCAGCUCGUGUCGUGAGAUGUUGGGUUAAGUCCCGCAACGAGCGCAACCCUUGCCUUUAGUUGCUAACAGUUAGGCUGAGCACUUUAAAGGGACUGCCGAUGAUAAAUCGGAGGAAGGUGGGGAUGACGUCAAAUCAUCAUGCCCUUUAUGUCCUGGGCUACACACGUGCUACAAUGGUCGGUACAACGAGUAGCUACCUAGCGAUAGGAUGCCAAUCUCUUAAAACCGAUCCCAGUUCGGAUUGCAGGCUGCAACUCGCCUGCAUGAAGUCGGAGUUGCUAGUAAUCGUGGAUCAGCAUGCCACGGUGAAUGCGUUCCCGGGUCUUGUACACACCGCCCGU
rnacentral:rRNA from 1 species